rnacentral:lncRNA from 1 species
ACAAGAACUGAAAGGCUGGAGCUGGGGUCCAUGAAAAGUGAUGGCAGAGGUGGCAGGAGGUGGCGGUACAGCAGCCACCGGGAUCCCCAGGCUGGAGGGCGGAAGCCCCUUGCACAUCCUGAUGGCUAAUCUUCCUCCUGAGGAAGUUCACUCUCUCUACUUUGCGUCUGUUCCCAGUCACCUGAGCACUGAGCAUCAAUAGUGAGAAGCUACAGGAGGCUGAGCGGCUGUUGACGCCCAGGACUGUGGGCAGCACCUUGCAGGGGGAAACCCGCUUCCUCCGGUCUCCCAGAAGAACAGUUCUGGCCUUCUCUCCUCUCUCCAGGCCUCCAGCUCUUCCCCAUCCCUGCUCUUGGCGGAGGACUGGCUUCUGUUUUCACUGAAGAAAUCACAGCCUCCUGAGAGGACUUCCCCAGACACAGCCCUCCCCUGUGCCCGCCCCUCCUCCACAUCCCCACCUUCCAUGCCCAGGGCAGCAAACCACCCCCCAUCUGCUCGGGGACAUCAACAGGCUCCCUGUUUCCUGAAUCUUCAGUUUCUCCUUCCUGCUUGAUUCCCAUCCACAAACUUACCAUUAUUUUUCUUGUCUUUAAAGGAAAAAUAAAACUUUUGCUUUUUAUCCAA